UCUCAAGCCCAAACCAUACAAUGCAACCUAUUGGCAUUUCUUCUUUUAGAAAUACAGAAAAUACUUAUGCUCCCUCCCUCCUUUCCAACACAAUGACUCAUUGCUUCUUCCUUAAAAAUGAAACUAAACUAAACCAGGAAGAGUUUUGUGAAAUUGAAACUUAACUAGUUUUUGAGAAUAGUCUAUAAGCUUUAACAUCACUGAACCACUGGAAGAAGACACGUUCUACCUUUAAUUUGACCAUUAUUUAGGUGGAAAUUUAACACACAACACAAACCUUCUCUCAAUGGACACCUCAUUCUGUUACACCAGUUUUCACCCUAACACAGAAGGCAUCAUGUCUGUGAGGAACGAUCUCCAAAAAAAUAAAUGUACGGACAGGAUCCUCCUCUCCAAUCUGGCCUUUGCAGAGAGUGUUCUUAGAAACCAUCCUCUGAAAGGGUCUUCAAAACUGCUGGUUAAAGGAGAAUAUUCCUAUGUACAAAUUGGUGACAGUGAGGAAAAGGUUUUUACCGUAACAUUAGAAGACAAAGAAAUCCAUCUUAACCUCUGUAUCCACGACAGCCAGGGUCCAAAAGUCAACAAAUAUAACAUAAAAGCCUGUCACUUUUUUGGCCACGCAUGCCAGGAUGAAAUCACAUCCUGCUUUGAUCAGGCUAAAGAUGCUGUUCCUGCUGAUGGGGUGCAUUUAUUACACAUCACUUGCAACAGGUUCUCCAUCAUCUACACCACUGAGUUUGUAAAUCUAAUCAAAACCGUGACAACUAAGUGUCAGUUUAAGCUCGAGACCAUCACUGCUGAGGGUUUGCUGGAGAGGAAAAUUUGGCUACAGAAAGAGAAAUCUACAAGUCAUGAACUGAUAGAAUGUCUAGAUCAUCUCAUCAAGCUAUACCUUACCACACCUGAUGCUCCAAAGAAUAACUGUAGAUUUAUCAUACAUGGAAACAAAGAAAUUGUCAGAAUUUUCUCUUCAGGUGAACAUUGCGAGAAAGAGUAUGUAUUGCAACAUGAGGGUUAUAGUAAGUUAUCAAUGUUUCCUCCGGCGUGGGAGUAGUUGCUAUGAUGACAGAGGUUAGAAGUGUUGUUUUUCAUACAGUAAAAAGUCUUUAUGCAAUAGACUAUAUUAGCAAAGAUUUAAAUAUUACAGCACCUAUGAUACAAUCAUAAUAGGAAAGCAAAAUCAGAUUUGGUAACAAUAAAUGCAAACGUGGUUUUAUUUAAAGGUUUACUUGUAUUUCAAAGAAAGAAUUUACUACUUUAAUCUACUGUGUAGUUAUGAAAUUAAUUUUAUUAUCCAAUGCACACACUUCUGUAGGUGUGUGAGGCAUUUUACUGCUUUUCAUCAUGUUUUUCAUGUCCACCUGAUUGAUAAUGUGUGUUUAUGUGAUUAGAUUUGUGAUCCUUUUAGUUGUUGGCACUACAGGUGUGGUAAGGGGAAAUGUUCAGUAGGUGGCUAGACUUGAAUUAUAGGAAGAAUGUGUUGCCCUGAACAGCUACAGUUUCUUUGUUUAUUUUUAUUUUACAUUUUGAAAUGUGGAAAGCAACUGAUCUGUAUCAGAAAUGUUUCUUUAUUUUUAUGUAAAAAAAUUUUUUAAAUAUACAGCUUCAAUCUUUACAUUUUUGUAGGUCCUCAUCUUGCAUUUUGUUGUUUUCUGGCCUAAAUACUAAUAAACUAUUUUUU